rnacentral:rRNA from 1 species
GGUGCGUAGGCGGUUGCCUAAGUCAGAUGUGAAAUCCCCGGGCUUAACUCGGGUGGUGCAUUUGAAACUGGGCGGCUAGAGUGCAGGAGAGGGAAGCGGAAUUCCUAGUGUAGCGGUGAAAUGCGUAGAUAUUAGGAGGAACACCAGUGGCGAAGGCGGCUUUCUGGACUGUAACUGACGCUGAGGCACGAAAGCGUGGGGAGCAAACAGGAUUAGGUACCCUGGUAGUCCACGCUGUAAACGAUGGAUACUAGGUGUAGGGGGCGUAGAGCCUUCUGUGCCGCAGCAAACGCAAUAAGUAUCCCGCCUGGGGAGUACGGCCGCAAGGUUGAAACUCAAAGGAAUUGACGGGGGCCCGCACAAGCAGCGGAGCAUGUGGUUUAAUUCGAAGCAACGCGAAGAACCUUACCAGGGCUUGACAUCCCUUGACGAAUGUAGAAAUACAUUUUCCCUUCGGGGCAAGGAGACAGGUGGUGCAUGGUUGUCGUCAGCUCGUGUCGUGAGAUGUUGGGUUAAGUCCCGCAACGAGCGCAACCCUUAUGGUUAGUUGCCAGCACGAAAGGUGGGAACUCUAAUCAGACUGCCGGGGAUAACUCGGAGGAAGGUGGGGACGACGUCAAAUCAUCAUGCCCCUUAUGUCCUGGGCUACACACGUGCUACAAUGGCCGGUACAAAGGGCUGCGAAGCCGAAAGGUGAAGCGAAUCCCAUAAAGCCGGUCCCAGUUCGGAUCGUGGGCUGCAACCCGCCCACGUGAAGCCGGAGUUGCUAGUAAUCGCGAAUCAGCAUGUCGCGGUGAAUGCGUUCCCGGGCCUUGUACACACCGCCCGUCACACCAUGGGAGUUGGGAGCGCC